rnacentral:tRNA from 1 species
CAGAAAAUAGUUUAUUUAAAAUUUUAAUUUUGGAGAUUAAUGAAAUAAGAUUUAUCUUUUUUUUCUGA